rnacentral:rRNA from 1 species
AUGAACGCUGGCGGCGUGCCUAAUACAUGCAAGUCGAGCGAACAGACGAGGAGCUUGCUCCUCUGACGUUAGCGGCGGACGGGUGAGUAACACGUGGAUAACCUACCUAUAAGACUGGGAUAACUUCGGGAAACCGGAGCUAAUACCGGAUAAUAUAUUGAACCGCAUGGUUCAAUAGUGAAAGACGGUUUUGCUGUCACUUAUAGAUGGAUCCGCGCCGCAUUAGCUAGUUGGUAAGGUAACGGCUUACCAAGGCGACGAUGCGUAGCCGACCUGAGAGGGUGAUCGGCCACACUGGAACUGAGACACGGUCCAGACUCCUACGGGAGGCAGCAGUAGGGAAUCUUCCGCAAUGGGCGAAAGCCUGACGGAGCAACGCCGCGUGAGUGAUGAAGGUCUUCGGAUCGUAAAACUCUGUUAUUAGGGAAGAACAAAUGUGUAAGUAACUAUGCACGUCCUGACGGUACCUAAUCAGAAAGCCACGGCUAACUACG